rnacentral:rRNA from 1 species
AGUGAACGCUGGCGGUAGGCCUAACACAUGCAAGUCGAACGGCAGCACAGGAGAGCUUGCUCUCUGGGUGGCGAGUGGCGGACGGGUGAGGAAUACAUCGGAAUCUACUUUUUCGUGGGGGAUAACGUAGGGAAACUUACGCUAAUACCGCAUACGACCUACGGGUGAAAGCAGGGGAUCUUCGGACCUUGCGCGAUUGAAUGAGCCGAUGUCGGAUUAGCUAGUUGGCGGGGUAAAGGCCCACCAAGGCGACGAUCCGUAGCUGGUCUGAGAGGAUGAUCAGCCACACUGGAACUGAGACACGGUCCAGACUCCUACGGGAGUCAGCAGUGGGGAAUAGUGGACAAUGGGCGCAAGCCUGAUCCAGCCAUACCGCGUGGGUGAAGAAGGCCUUCGGGUUGUAAAGCCCUUUUGUUGGGAAAGAAAUCCAGCUGGUUAAUACCCGGUUGGGAUGACGGUACCCAAAGAAUAAGCACCGGCUAACUUCGUGACAGCAGCCGCAGUAA